UAACAGAAUCUGACAAAGUUUCCAUUCUUUAUUGACACUUUUCCCCUCUAAUUACUUACAUUUACUUGUUUAUAGAGCCUAGAAUUAUGCUAGCCACAAUAUGCUGUUGAAGGAAGUUUCAUUCCAUUGUACAUGUAGAUAAGACAUUGUAUGUGUUUGGUGAACUGGCCUAUACUUGCUGCACACACUGGGUUGUUUAUGUGCACAGCCAUCUUUGUUAUUGUUCAACUACAUGUGCAUUCUUAAGGAGGCAGCCAUGUUUGUUUGGUCAUGUGAUCAAAGUUUUCUACAUGUAAAACAGUCCAAACAUUAAGUGAGAGGUCCUUUUUGAUAUUGUGAUACUUUAGUUUGAUUGUAAUUUAGUUUUUGUUGUAGACUAUAGUGACUUUGAGGAAAAUUGUGCAACUUUUACUUUUCCCAUAAUGCAUUGCUUCUUGCACAUGGCCUGAUUCUCCAACAAUGUGCUCAGCAGUUUGCUGCGCUGAGGAUGAUCUAAUCCGCUUUUUUCUGCAACCAUCCUAAGAUUAUUUAGCACACCCACUACAGGCCCACGAGGUAAAUAUCCUACUUAGUAAUAUUGCAUCAGUUUUACUCUCUUAAAUGUAGGAUUAAGUUAGAAAAUAAUGGUUUAUUAAGUCAAGUAAUUGUGUCUUUUAUGCAUGCAUGUUACUGACUAGUAUAGUAAUGCAAAUGUCCAUUGUCAUUUCUUUAGGUCAUAUGAGUCUCAUUGAAUAAUUCCUUGUGAAGACUAAAUUUACCACAUUAACCUUCAAAUUGUUGAGAUCUAUACUUAUGAUUAUCAUUGUUAUUUGCUUGUCAGAUCUCACGGUGUUCAUCUUUGGAGACAGUUCAUUGUCAACAUUAAAGUCAGACAUGACAGAGACAUCAGUACAGAUCGUGUCCGCCUACAUUUUGCUUUGGUAGUUGGGUGCAGCUACAGUGAGAUCUCCACGCCAUCUAGUCCAGAUGUAGAGAUUUCUUGAGUGAAGCGUGGAACGGAAUCCAGAGAGCUGUUGUCUUGCUUACAGCUGGCCCAUGACGAACGGAACAAGGCUAGCCCAUGACGAACGGAACGAGGCUAGGCGAAGGACGAGUAGCACAGACGGAAUGCAGCAGAUUCGAGAUUCGAGCACGGGAACAGCAUGCAGUACGUGAACCACCGGAUCAGCGGAUACCCGGUAAGACAGCGACGGAACCAGUCAAGGAGACGAGAGAGCUGAUCCACAUCGUCAUGAUUGUGCACAAGAAAUGUCAGCCAUGUCAGCAGGACUAAACGCUAAACGAACUGUACAUCAAGGAACUGUGAGCGGAAUCCUUUAAAGAACAGUUGGUCAUUGACGGUUUCAUAACCAAAUAAUGUUGUGAAUGUAUUUUAUCUGGAACAAACGAAUGUAAAGAGUGUACUUUAUAUUGUUGGGAUCAGAGUUUCUAGAUAAUCUACCCCUUGUUCAGCCUUGCAUGAAGUCAGCUGUGUAUACAUUAAUUUCUGCUCUGUGUGAUAUAUUGCUAUAGUGUGCGAAAAUCAUUUGCAUUUUGUUGUUCACACUGUUCGACACCAUUGUUUGCUAAUCGAUUUCUCCUCAUUGCUCUAUUUCACCCAAUUGUGUAGUGUUGAAUGCGUGUGUUGACAAGCUAUUAUUUCGUAUGUAGUGCAAUUCACUUGAAACUUGUUAUACACAAAACUAAUGCCAUGUCAUUUCAUGAAAUUGUUGUAUUUUCAUCUUGCAUCAAUCAUGUGGCAUUUGUAAUGUAAGCCACAUGCUCUUGUCAUUUACGAAUUCUAUUUCUGCCAAGUACUAUUCCUAAGGUCCCAAAAUGUCGAGUAAUGAAGUGGAGGAUCAAGCUAAGGAGUUAGAAGAAGGAAUAGAAGAAUGUACUGCAGCUCUAGAGUCAGUAGAUGAUCCUGUAGAAAGAGAGAGCAUUUUGAAAGAUGUCAGCAGCAAGCAAGAAGAACUCUUCAAACUAAGCAAACCUUCCGAGAGUGAAACCCGGAAAAGCAGCAGAACGAGACACCCCACGACCAAGAUGGCGGAGCUUCAAGAAGCAGAUAAAGUCAAAAGAGAAGGAAAACUAAAGAAAGUCUUCGUCCAAAAUUACGAGUCGUGGAAGGAAUGCUGUAAAAAUGCAAGACAGAAGUUGAAGGGUUACUGCACAGGCUUCACACUGAAUGACAUUUCUUCAUCGCUACACAUCGCACGAGAUGAGCUGAUCGAUGCAUAUGAUGCUUGUCGACAACUUGGGCCCCCUGAACAGGAAAUGCGACGCCGGGUCGACACAUGCUCAGCUAUAACACAACAGCUACUGAAGGUUGUCGUCGCCAAAGAAGAUGCAGAUACAACACACAUUUCCAGUGAGUUGAGACGGCUUCUGCACACCGAUGACAACGCAUCAGUUUUCUCAUCGAAAGCGUCAAGCCAAGCGUCAUCUCGCUGGUCUGAAAGUUCAUCUGCCAGACGGGCUAAGGCUGCUGCCGAAUUAGCAGCCAGAAAGGCAGAAAUCAAAGUGCUGGAAGUCAAACAGCAAAAGCAAGCAGAGCUAGAUGAACUACAACGGCAACAAGAAGAAAUGCAACGACUGCAGGAGAAGAAAAGGAGAGAAAUAGAACGACUGGAAAAGGAAAAGGAGUUGGAGACGGCCCGUGCCAAAUUUGAAGUAUAUGACCAGGAGUGCAAAGGCAGUCGAGAGAAGAGUCACAGCAGUAACUCUCCUGAUGAGCCAUCCCCUUGGCCAACCGAGGUGAAACACGAGGCUCAAAAGAAACAACCAAGUCCAGUCCAAGCAUCAGAAGGCGGUGAAGUAGCAGCUCUAGCCCGCAGUCUCCGAGAUUGUAUGACAAUCCAUAAGUUGCCUCCCCCAGAACCCAGCGUGUUUACGGGAGAUCCCAUCCGCUAUGUUGAGUGGAAGGCGAGCUUCAAGACACUUAUCGAGUCAAAGGCAAUCUCCACACCAGAAAGAGUGUAUUACCUUAAACGAUACCUGGGUGGAGAUGCACAGAAGGCUGUGGAAGGUUUCUUCUACAGCACAUCAGACGAGAGCUAUGAAGGUGCAUGGCGUCUACUCGAGGAACGUUACGGACAUCCUUUCAAAGUUCAGAAGGCCUUCCGUGAUAAGUUAUCAAAGUGGCAAAAGAUAGGCCCAAAGGAUGCCAACAGUUUGCAGCAGUUUGCAGACUUUCUUAAAGCAUGCAAGGACGCCAUCCCCCAUGUCCCUGCUCUGAAGAUACUUGAUGAUUGUGAGGAGAACAGGCGUCUGCUCUCCAAAUUGCCAGACUGGGCUGCAGCUCGAUGGAAUAGACAAGUUACAAAGAAACUUGACGAAACACUCAACUACCCUGGUUUUGAAGAGUUUGUCGAGUUUGUACGCAAGGAGGCCCGGGUAGCAUGCAAUCCAAUCUCAUCAUUGCAUGCACUGAAGGCAACAGACGAAUCAGAGACAGAGCAGACACAAGGCGGCAGUAGAAGAGCCAACCGAAGCAGGGGCACAGCACUAACAGUUGGAUCAAAUGAGAUCAACAAGAUGCCCAAGGAAGGCCAGACAUCAACCAAGAGCAUGUUCCAACCAAAACCAUGCCAGAAUUGCAGGAAGACAGAUCACCACAUCGAUAAAUGCCCUGGCUUUGGCACUAAGUCUCUUGCUGAAAGAAGAAAAUUCAUCCAAGAAAACAGAUUGUGCUUUGGCUGCCUUAAGAAAGGUCACCUGUCCAAGGAAUGCCGACGAAAACUGACUUGCGACAAGUGCAAGAGAAGGCAUCCUACAAUCCUGCAUGACGAUGCACUGAUGCGGAGCGAUGACUCCAACCACGUGGAGAAGUCGCCAAAGGGAGAGAAACCCAAAGAAGUUGCGGUUGUGUCAUGUGGCGUCCAGAUGGGAAGUGGAUGGGGGACUUCAAUGAUAGUCCCAGUGUGGGUGUCGUCUGUGGAUUCUCCUUCAAUGGAAGUCUUGACGUAUGCCCUACUAGACACUCAGAGUGACUGCACAUUCAUUUUAGACAACACUGCCAGUUCUAUUGCGGCACGUUGUGAGUCAGUUCGACUUAAACUUGCUACGAUGACUUCGGCGUCCUCCAUGAUUGAUUGCAGUGCAGUCACCAACCUAAUUGUCAGAGGUAUGCAUUCAUCUAACAGAAUACGAAUUCCACGGGCAUACACGAGAGAGUUCAUCCCAGUCAACAAGUCCACCAUCCCGACGACGGACACAGCAAGAAGAUGGCCACACCUUGAAAGAAUAACCCAUGAGAUGGCGCCCCUGCAGAACUGCGAGGUUGGAAUGCUCAUUGGUUACAAUUGUCCACAAGCUUUGGCACCACGAGACACAAUAGUUGGACAAGAUGAUGAACCGUAUGCUGUCAAGACUGAUCUUGGUUGGACCAUCGUCGGUUAUGAUGAUCCAAGCGCCAAUAGUUAUGCCACAAGUGUCUGCCACCGAGUUUCAGCGACGGAGGCCCCAUGUAUACCUCCUUCAAAUGUAAUCAGAGCAUUAGAAGCCGACUUUUCGGAGAAACGCCAUGCAGAGAAAACCGUAUCCCAAGAAGAUAUUCAGUUUCUUAACAUCAUGGAAAAAAACAUUCACCAGACCAGCAGUGGUCACUACACCAUGCCACUUCCAUUCAGAGAUGGCAAGCCAACGCUGCCAAACAACAAGAAGACGGCUAUAGUUCGUCUCAAUCAUCUAAACAGGAAGUUUAGCACCAACCAGAAGUACCAUGCUGACUACACAAAGUUCAUGGAAGAUGUAAUAGAGAAAGGUGAUGCUGAGAAGGUUGAGAGCCACGGAGAGGAAGGAAGGGUUUGGUACAUCCCACAUCACGGCGUGUAUCACCCUCGGAAGCCUGGGAAGAUCAGAGUCGUAUUUGACUGUUCAGCGCGACAUGCCGGAACUUCUCUGAAUGGUCAUCUUCUCACCGGACCUGACCUGAUCAACAACUUGACUGGGGUUCUACUUCGAUUUAGAGAACAUCCCAUAGCUGUCAUGUGUGACAUUGAGAGGAUGUUCCAUCAAUUCCUUGUGAACGAAGAAGACCGUGACUACUUGCGGUUUCUAUGGUGGGAAAAUGGCGACCCAAGCAAUGGUCCAGCGGAGUAUCGCAUGAAAGUGCACCUAUUUGGUGCAGCUUCUUCGCCGGGAUGUGCCAACUAUGGCUUGAAACAUUUGGCCAGUCGGCAUGAGAACGAGUUCCCACUAGCAGCAACCUUUGUCAAGAGGAACUUCUACGUCGAUGAUGGUCUCAAAAGUACUGAAACGGAAGACGAAGCAAAGAGAUUAGUGGCCGAGGCCCAAGAGUUAUGUGCCAGAGGAGGGCUACGACUACAUAAAUUCAUCUCAACCAGUAGAGAAGUCAUGGAGGCCAUUCCAGUGGAUGAACGUGCCGCUGGAGUAAAGGAUGUGGAUCUUAGCCGAGAUGAUCUCCCCACAGAGAGGGCUCUCGGCAUUCAAUGGUGUGUAGAGGCAGACAUGUUCAACUUCCACAUCGAAGCUAAGGAUCAGUCACUAACACGUCGGGGAAUCCUGUCCACGGUUGCCUCCAUCUAUGACCCUCUUGGGUUCCUUGCCCCAUUUGUACUCAUUGGCAAGGGAAUUCUCCAAGAAAUGUGUCACAGCGGAUCGGAUUGGGAUGAUCCACUUCCUGAUAAGCUGCACCCACGGUGGGAGAAGUGGAAGGAUGACCUUGUAAAUCUGAAGCAAAUCCAGAUACCCAGGUGCUACAAGCCAAGUGACUUUGGGAAGGUCAUCGCGGUGGAGCUCCAUCAUUUCUGUGACGCCAGUACAAGAGGAUAUGGCCAGUGUUCAUAUUUGCGAUUCAUCGGAGAAGAUAAGGUGCAUUGCACACUGGUGUCAGGAAAGGCCAGAGUUGCUCCGAUCAAAGUUGUCACCAUUCCCCGCCUCGAGUUGACAGCCGCAGUAGUGUCGGUACAGAUAAGCCACAUGCUAAAGGAGGAAUUAGAGCUAGUCAUCGACAGGGAAUACUUCUGGACAGACUCUCAAGUCGUCCUUGGAUAUAUAUGUAAUGAGGCAAGACGGUUCCAUGUAUUUGUGGCCAACAGGGUCCAGAAAAUCAGGCAGUACUCAGAGCCCAGUCAGUGGCACUACGUGCCGACGGAAGUGAACCCUGCUGAUCAUGCCUCAAGAGGAGUCCUUGCCAAAGAGUUGGUGGCCUCAAACUGGUUCAGAGGCCCAGAAUUCCUGUGGAACAAAGAGAUGGUGAUUGCAGAAGAGCCAGUCCGUGAAUUAAGCGUCGGUGAUCCAGAAGUAAAGAGUGUGACGUCCCUGCAAAGUGCUGUUACACCAGAGGUAUUUGACUGGGAGGAUCGCCUGUCUCGCUUCUCAGAUUGGUCAAAGGUAUUGGGAGCUGUGGCACGCAUAAGACGACUGAAUCGGAAAGAAAAGGAUAACAGCCUCUCUACCCCGCAAGAACAAACAGAGGCAGAAAUGCACAUCGUACGAUCAGUACAGAGGCAAGCCUUCCCACAGGAAAUUCAGUCAUUGAGGAACUCAAGCAGAGUGAAGGCAACUAGUAAAAUCUGCAGCCUGAAUCCAUUCCUGGACAGUGACGGAAUUCUAAGAGUCGGUGGACGUCUGAGAAAUGCAGAAGUUCCAGACAGCGUCAAACAUCCAGCCAUUCUUCCAAAAGAUGGGCAAGUAACGAGGUUGCUCAUCUCGUACUUCCACAACAAAGUCCAACACCAGGGAAGAGGAAUGACCUUCAAUGAAGUAAGAGCUGGUGGAUACUGGAUAAUCGGAGGAGUGAAGGUAGUUGCCACUCACAUCCACAAGUGCGCAACUUGUCGUCGUCUGCGGCGCCCAGUGGAAGAACAGAAGAUGGCCGACCUUCCAAAGGAUAGAGUAGAGCCUUCCCCACCGUUUACAUUUUGUGGCAUGGACUGCUUCGGACCAUUCACCGUCAGGGAAGGCAGGAAGGAGAUCAAGAAGUAUGGAGUCAUAUUCACAUGCAUGUCCUCACGUGCUGUACACAUUGAAAUGGUGGACGACAUGACCACCGAUUGCUUCAUCAAUUCACUUCGAUGCUUCAUUGCCUUGAGAGGUCCUGUACAGCAGUUGCGUUCUGACCAGGGAUCCAAUUUUGUCGGAGCUAAGAACGAAUUUCGAGAGGCAUUGAAGGAACUGGAUAUGGAGAGAGUUCAAGGCUUCUUGGCAAAGCGGCAAUGUCAAUUUGUCAUGAACGCUCCACACUCAAGUCAUGUUGGUGGCGUGUGGGAGCGUCAAAUCAAGACGGUCAGAAGCGUUCUCUCAUCCAUAAUCCAGCAGUCUCCAGGUAGACUUGACGCUGCAACCUUGCGUACAUUUCUCUACGAAGCCAUGGCUAUUGUGAACAGUCGUCCACUCACAACAGUUAAUCUUCACGAUCCACUCAGCCCUGAACCACUUACACCUAAUCACCUUCUCACCAUGAAGUCUACAGCAGCCUUACCACCUCCUGGAAAAUUCGUGAAGGAAGACCUGUACAUCAGGAAACGCUGGAGGAGGGUUCAGUAUCUGGCUGAACAGUUUUGGGGAAGAUGGAGGAAGGAAUACCUCUCUUCUCUCACUUCACGUCAAAAGUGGCACACACCAAGACGAAACAUCAAGGUGGGAGAUGUGGUGCUGCUGAAAGACGAAGAGGCCCCUCGAAUGGAAUGGCCAUUGGCUAUUGUGAUCGAAACCAUAGAAAAUGAUGACGGCCUUGUCAGGAGAGCCAGAGUAAGGGUUGGCACUAAGCAUCUGGACAAAGAAGGGAGACGAACAGGCAAACCGUCCAUUCUUGAGCGACCAAUCCAGAAGCUAAUUCUCCUUCUUGAGACGAAGUAGAUGGAUUACCCUUCUGGCGAUAGCCAAUCCACUCAUCCUGUUAGAGACGCUGCUAGCGUAAAUGCUUAAGGCAUAUCUUCAUCUUGACAGUUUAAUAUAAGGACUUUGUAUGUUAACCAAAACUGUUCUGUUAGUUUGUAGUCGAAAGUAGUUUUGAAAUUACCAUGAUAUACUACAAUUGUUGUUUCUAAUUGCUAAUUUGUGUAGUUGUAGUAUCUUGCCAUGUAGUUACAUAGAUCAGUGGUAAUUUGGUGGGAGUGUAACAGAAUCUGACAAAGUUUCCAUUCUUUAUUGACACUUUUCCCCUCUAAUUACUUACAUUUACUUGUUUAUAGAGCCUAGAAUUAUGCUAGCCACAAUAUGCUGUUGAAGGAAGUUUCAUUCCAUUGUACAUGUAGAUAAGACAUUGUAUGUGUUUGGUGAACUGGCCUAUACUUGCUGCACACACUGGGUUGUUUAUGUGCACAGCCAUCUUUGUUAUUGUUCAACUACAUGUGCAUUCUUAAGGAGGCAGCCAUGUUUGUUUGGUCAUGUGAUCAAAGUUUUCUACAUGUAAAACAGUCCAAACAUUAAGUGAGAGGUCCUUUUUGAUAUUGUGAUACUUUAGUUUGAUUGUAAUUUAGUUUUUGUUGUAGACUAUAGUGACUUUGAGGAAAAUUGUGCAACUUUUACUUUUCCCAUAAUGCAUUGCUUCUUGCACAUGGCCUGAUUCUCCAACAAUGUGCUCAGCAGUUUGCUGCGCUGAGGAUGAUCUAAUCCGCUUUUUUCUGCAACCAUCCUAAGAUUAUUUAGCACACCCACUACAGGCCCACGAGAUCUCACGGUGUUCAUCUUUGGAGACAGUUCAUUGUCAACAUUAAAGUCAGACAUGACAGAGACAUCAGUA